CUAAAAAUGGAGUGUGGAGGUGAUUUUAAAAUUCGAAAGGAGGUUGGGUGCAGUGGCUCACACCUGUAAUCCCAGCACUUUGGGAGGCUGA